rnacentral:lncRNA from 1 species
UGGUGGAAGAGGCGACCGGCCCACCAAGUCCGCGUGCAAUAGACGCAGUCUACCAAUUCUGUCCGUUGACCCAAGUGGGGGCCAAACAUAACACACUAAUUAAACACUCUCUUUGACUCAUUUACUUCAUUAAUUACUCCACUGUUUGUCUCCUCGCCACCAAUGAAACCUGCCGCCAUUCAGCUCCCAUAGUGUAAGAGGAAACUUCUUAAAUAUCUGACUAACCCCAAAAGAAUAAAUUCAGUUGAGAUCACCUAGCUAACUUCAAUU